GACGAACGCUGGCGGCGUGCUUAACGCAUGCGAGCCGAACGGAAACGCCCUGCUUGUGUGGGGUGCUCGAGGGGCGAACGGGUGAGUAACACGUGAGUAACCUGCCCUUGACUUUGGGAUAACUUCAGGAAACUGGGGCUAAUACCGGAUAGGAGCUCCUGCUGCAUGGUGGGGGUGGGAAAGUUUCUGCGGUUGGGGAUGGACUCGCGGCUUAUCAGCUUGUUGGUGGGGUAGUGGCUUACCAAGGCUUUGACGGAUAGCCGGCCCUGGAGGGUGACCGGCCUCAAUAGUACUGCGAUACGCCCCAGACUCCUACGGGGGGCAGCAGUGGGGAGUAUUGCCCAAUGGGCGGGAGCCUGAUGCAGCGACGCCGCGUGCGGGAUGACGGCCUUCGGGUUGUAAACCGCUUUCGCCUGUGACGAAGCGUUAGUGACGGUAAUGGGUAAAGAAGCACCGGCUAACUACGUG
rnacentral:rRNA from 1 species